rnacentral:misc_RNA from 1 species
CGAACAGAAACCAAAGAUAAACAUUAUCAUUUACACCAAUCCAAUAGGCAUUAGAUAAGAACAAUAUGUCAAAAUUAGCGUCUGUUCGCUUGAAAAGUGUCAGCACUGUCCGUUAGGGCUGUGGAACUUGGUGGCUCUAAAGCCAUUGAACGGACUCCAAUUGCCCCAUGGAUUUUAUAUAUAAACUUUCCUAAAAGAGGAAGAUUGAUCUUCUGGGUCACCUUUCUAUGCAAAGAACAAGGUCAAAUUCCCAUCAAAGUCACAAUCUUUGUAACUAUUAUUCAAGGAAUUUGUAAGUUCAGAUACUGGCUUUUAAUCUUUGUUCAACUGUUCUUGCUGUUUGAGUUUAGUUUCUGAGCUAUAUGAUACCAGAUUUGGACUUAGUUAAGUUUGCUUCCUUUUAUCAAUUUGUACUGGCUAUUAACAAUUUCCAUUUCCAGCUGAUUAGGGUUUCAAUUUUUUAGGGUUAAUAGUUUCUGUUUCUGUAAAAUGAUAAUGCAAUUCAGAGAGUUUAAUUUAAAUUUGGACUUUUAAGUGAAGUUAUAAAAGUUCUAGGGGUCAAAAAUAAAAUGUUAGAAAGUUAAAGCAUCAACAUGAAUUUUUGAUAGAUAGGUGGCAGCCCAUUUAAGCCACAUGAAUUUGUCUUCUCCUCCGGCAUCAAAACAAAAGGAAAGGAAAUAAAGAAUAAUAGUAAGAAAGAGGAAGAGACUAGAAAGCAUCGGGUUUUCAUGUGGAAACAGGGGAGAGUUUAGAAGCAGAGACCCAAAAACCAUGAAUUUCACUAUCGAAACCCUCCUAUUCUCGACCAUUCUUAGUCACCAAGCCCUCACCUCAUCGUCUUCUUUCCUCUAAACUGCAGAUUUUGUAAUUUCUCCACCCUAGAAUUUCAAUUUGAGAGAGGAAUUGAGUAUCAUAACUGCUGUCUCCUCCCACCCACGCUAUAUUGGCACCACUGUAACUUUUGAACCUCUUCUUUCUUCUCUUUGGCUGUCAUUAAACCCUCGUCAAGUGUCCUUUUGAUCUGAGAAUUGAGGAGGGAGAGUGCAGACUGGGGGAAACGUACCUGUGUUUCAAUUCAUCAAGUUUCAACAAAAUUCUAGCGUGGUGGCUGCCCCUAGUGACUGCUUUAACUUCACUCCUCUUAGCUGUUCAUGGGUGGUUGGCUGUGAUUGAAGUUCAUGACCCACGUGUUGGCAAGACGCUUAUGAACAACAAGCCCCAAAACCACUCAAUUCUUGAAGUAUUGAUGCCCAAUUUGCUAUGGGUUGUUGGUGGCAUGAGAGGUAUUAGACUCUGAAGUUGGCACCUUGAUAGGCCAAAGUGGUGAUAAAGAGCAGUGGGUUUGUGCAGACUUCAAAAAGCUAUGUGCUUUGGAUGCGUGCGAAUUGAAUUUGCAAUCUUUUGGAGAGUUUCAUGUGUAGUCUGAUUGUCAUCGUUCUUGUUGGGAAUUUGUGAAGAUGGAGUUGGUGCUUUACUUUUCUUAAUUUCUUAUGCGGGAGAAUUCCCUUGUUUGCACUAAAAUGGUAAACUAUAAGUAAUUGAGGAUUUGAAAUAGAUUACUUGCUGUAGACUUGAAUGUGGCUGUCCAUUGUAAUUCUUCAAUAUAACAUUUUGGGGACAGCAUAGAUAGAUAUUUCAUAUCAGAACAAAGGGCUUCUCUGUGAAUUUGAAAGGCUUCUAGUUUUUCCCCUUCAAUACUUCAAGAUGCAAAGAGUUCGUAUGUCAUCUGAACAAGCACCUGUACAUAAGCUAGGGGAUUCCCAGAUGGCAUUAUCUCCUAAGUUUAGAUUAGCUAUGAUCCAAUCUUCUUUGUUAAGCCCUUCAUCAGAGCUGGAGUCAUCUCUCCAAGGCGAACCCUUAAUACCUGGGCUUCCUGAUGAUGUUGCCCUUAACUGUCUUCUCCGGCUUCCAGUCCAGAGCCAUGCAGCCUGUAGAACAGUUUGCAAGCGAUGGCAUUUACUACUUGGUAAUAAGGAGCGGUUCUUCACCCGUAGAAAGGAACUUGGCUUUAAGGACCCUUGGCUCUUUGUCUUUGCUUUCCACAAAUGCACUGGGAAAAUUCAGUGGCAAGUUCUAGAUCUUACCCACUUCUCAUGGCACACUAUCCCAGUAAUGCCCUGUAAGGAGAGGGUCUGCCCUCAUGGAUUUAGGUGUGCAUCAAUACCCCUUGAUGGUACACUCUUUGUUUGUGGGGGCAUGGUCUCUGAUGUGGAUUGCCCCCUUGAUUUGGUCUUGAAGUAUGAGAUGCAAAAAAAUCGUUGGACUGUGAUGAAUCAAAUGAUUGCAGCCAGAUCAUUUUUUGCAAGUGGGGUAAUUGAUGGGAUGAUAUAUGUAGCUGGAGGAAACAGUACUAAUCUUUUUGAGCUUGACUCGGCAGAAGUUUUGGAUCCUGUCAAGGGGAAAUGGCGCUGCAUUGCAAGCAUGGGAACUAAUAUGGCAUCUUAUGAUGCAGCAGUUCUUGAAGGGAAGCUUCUUGUGACAGAAGGCUGGUUGUGGCCAUUUUUUGUCUCUCCUAGGGGUCAGGUAUAUGAUCCAAGAACUGAUAGGUGGGAGAAUAUGGCUGUUGGAUUGAGAGAAGGCUGGACUGGUUCAAGUGUAGUAGUCUAUGGGUGCUUGUUUGUGGUUUCAGAGCUUGAAAGGAUGAAGCUCAAGGUUUAUGAUGUGGACUCCGAUUCCUGGGAGACAAUAGAAGGGCCUCCUUUACCAGAGCAAAUUUGCAAACCCUUUGCUGUGAAUGCCUGUGAUUGCAAAAUCUAUGUUGUGGGUCGGAAUCUGCAUGUUGCUGUGGGUCACAUCUCUAAGCUCAAGCAAAAAGGCACUUGCGAAAAAAAGUGGAGCUUCAGUGUUACAUGGCAUGUAGUAGAUCCUCCAGAUACUUUUUCUGACCUGACACCCUCAAGCUCUCAGGUUCUGUAUGCUUAGCUUUUCUGUGAUAUUUGCAUCUUGUCUUGCAUGCUAUUGAAUAAAUUGUAACUAUAUGUAUUUGUGAAAGCUGUAGAGUGCUAAUGGCUGCAUGUAGAACAAAUGUAACAAAUAUAUGGUUGUUUCCCAGUUUGUUUUUCUCCAUAAUUAUAAUGAUUCCUUAGUGCACUGUGUGUAAUUCCCAUCAUCUUGCCUUAGUAAGUAGACGUUUUCUUCUCAUUAUUCAAGGGAAUACUGUUGCGUUGAUGUCUGCAUUAGGUUCCAUUACACUCCAUUUUGUUUUAUUACCAAAUAUGCUCCUACAAUCAUUGGAUAAAUAUUUAAAUUUUG